GGUUAAGCGACUAAGCGUACACGGUGGAUGCCCUGGCAGUCAGAGGCGAUGAAGGGCGUGCUAAUCUGCGAUAAGCGCCGGUAAGGUGAUAUGAACCGUUAUAACCGGCGAUACCCGAAUGGGGAAACCCAGUGUGAUUCGUCACACUAUCAUUAACUGAAUCCAUAGGUUAAUGAGGCGAACCGGGGGAACUGAAACAUCUAAGUACCCCGAGGAAAAGAAAUCAACCGAGAUUCCCCCAGUAGCGGCGAGCGAACGGGGAGGAGCCCAGAGCCUGAAUCAGCAUGUGUGUUAGUGGAAGCGUCUGGAAAGGCGCGCGAUACAGGGUGACAGCCCCGUACACAAAAGCGCAUGUGCUGUGAGCUCGAUGAGUAGGGCGGGACACGUGGUAUCCUGUCUGAAUAUGGGGGGACCAUCCUCCAAGGCUAAAUACUCCUGACUGACCGAUAGUGAACCAGUACCGUGAGGGAAAGGCGAAAAGAACCCCGGCGAGGGGAGUGAAAAAGAACCUGAAACCGUGUACGUACAAGCAGUGGGAGCACCCUUUGGGGUGUGACUGCGUACCUUUUGUAUAAUGGGUCAGCGACUUAUAUUCUGUAGCAAGGUUAACCGAAUAGGGGAGCCGGAGGGAAACCGAGUCUUAACCGGGCGUUAAGUUGCAGGGUAUAGACCCGAAACCCGGUGAUCUAGCCAUGGGCAGGUUGAAGGUUGGGUAACACUAACUGGAGGACCGAACCGACUAAUGUUGAAAAAUUAGCGGAUGACCUGUGGCUGGGGGUGAAAGGCCAAUCAAACCGGGAGAUAGCUGGUUCUCCCCGAAAGCUAUUUAGGUAGCGCCUCGUGAAUUCAUCUCCGGGGGUAGAGCACUGUUUCGGCUAGGGGGCCAUCCCGGCUUACCAACCCGAUGCAAACUGCGAAUACCGGAGAAUGUUAUCACGGGAGACACACGGCGGGUGCUAACGUCCGUCGUGAAGAGGGAAACAACCCAGACCGCCAGCUAAGGUCCCAAAGUCAUAGUUAAGUGGGAAACGAUGUGGGAAGGCCCAGACAGCCAGGAUGUUGGCUUAGAAGCAGCCAUCAUUUAAAGAAAGCGUAAUAGCUCACUGGUCGAGUCGGCCUGCGCGGAAGAUGUAACGGGGCUAAACCAUGCACCGAAGCUGCGGCAGCG
rnacentral:rRNA from 1 species